rnacentral:lncRNA from 1 species
GAUCUUGGAGGUCUUUUCCAACGCUGAUGAUUCUGUGAUUCUAUAAUUCUAUGGAUUGAGACCCUCCUCCAGACUGAAACGGGCUUCAAAAUGCACCAUCGUGUUGUGCUUGGAUAGGGCAUUGCUGUCCCCCUCACCAAAGCCUCCUGUCCGCAGCAGGAAGACCAGAAGGGAGGGUGGUGCUCACCCAUCCCAGGACAUACUCAUCCUUGAGCAUCACAUUCUUCGCAGGAAGGUUCACCAAAUGACUCAGCUGGACAGAGCUGAAUCCAGUCCAGGACAUCAC